CCUACGGGAGGCAGCAGUGGGGAAUAUUGCACAAUGUGGGGAACCCUGAUGCAGCGACGCCGCGUGGGUGAAGGAGUAUUUCGGUAUGUAAAGCCCUAUCAGCAGGGAAGAACAAUGACGGUACCUGACUAAGAAGCACCGGCUAAAUACGUGCCCGCCGCCGCGGUAAUACGUAUGGUGCAAGCUUUAUCCGUGUUUACUGGGUGUAAAGGGAGCGCAAGCGGCGCGGUAAGCCUGGUGGGAAAGCCCGCGGCCCAACCGAGGGACUGCAUUGGGAAGUGGCGCGCGGGAGUGCCGGAGGGGUAGGCGGAAUUCCUAGGGUAGCGGUGAAAUGCGGAGAUAUUAGGAGGAACACCAGUGGCGAAGGCGGCCUACUGGACGGUGACUGACGCUGAGGCUCGAAAGCGUGGGGAGCAAACAGGAUUAGAUACCCCAGUAGUC
rnacentral:rRNA from 1 species